GAUAGCUUGCUAUCAAUGCUGACGAGCGGCGGACGGGUGAGUAAUGCCUGGGAAUAUGCCCUGAUGUGGGGGAUAACUAUUGGAAACGAUAGCUAAUACCGCAUAAUCUCUUCGGAGCAAAGAGGGGGACCUUCGGGCCUCUCGCGUCAGGAUUAGCCCAGGUGGGAUUAGCUUGUUGGUGGGGUAAUGGCUCACCAAGGCAACGAUCCCUAGCUGGUCUGAGAGGAUGAUCAGCCACACUGGAACUGAGACACGGUCCAGACUCCUACGGGAGGCAGCAGUGGGGAAUAUUGCACAAUGGGGGAAACCCUGAUGCAGCCAUGCCGCGUGUAUGAAGAAGGCCUUCGGGUUGUAAAGUACUUUCAGUUGUGAGGAAGGCGUUGAUGUUAAUAGCUUCAGCGUUUGACGUUAGCAACAGAAGAAGCACCGGCUAACUCCGUGCCAGCAGCCGCGGUAAUACGGAGGGUGCGAGCGUUAAUCGGAAUUACUGGGCGUAAAGCGCAUGCAGGUGGUCUGUUAAGCAAGAUGUGAAAGCCCGGGGCUCAACCUCGGAACAGCAUUUUGAACUGGCAGACUAGAGUACUGUAGAGGGGGGUAG
rnacentral:rRNA from 2 species